ensembl:rRNA 5S_rRNA 5S ribosomal RNA
GUCUAUGGUCAUACCAUCCUGAACUCACCUGAUUUCAUCUGAUCUAGGAAUCUAAGCAGGGUCAGAGCUGAUUAGUACUUGGAUGGGAGACCAUACAAUUGCUCAACAAUUCUUUCUCU